AUUGAACGCUGUCGGCAGGCCUAACACAUGCAAGUCGAACGAGUGGCGGACGGGUGAGUAAUGUCUGGGAAACUGCCCGAUGGAGGGGGAUAACUACUGGAAACGGUAGCUAAUACCGCAUACCAUCGGAUGUGCCCAGAUGGGAUUAGCUAGUAGGUGGGGUAACGGCUCACCUGGGCGCCGAUCCCUAGCUGGUCUGAGAGGAUGACCGGCCACACUGGAACGGAAACACGGUCAAGACUCCUCAGGGAGGAAGAGGUGGGGAAUAUUGAACAAUGGGGGCAAGCCUGAUGCAGCCAUGCCGCGUGUAUGAAGAAGGCCUUCGGGUUGUAAAGUACUUUCAGCGAGGAGGCGUUACUCGCAGAAGAAGCACCGGCUAACUCCGUGCCAGCAGCCGCGGUAAUA
rnacentral:rRNA from 1 species